AUUGAACGCUGGCGGCAGGCCUAACACAUGCAAGUCGAACGGUAACAGGAAGAAGCUUGCUUCUUUGCUGACGAGUGGCGGACGGGUGAGUAAUGUCUGGGAAACUGCCUGAUGGAGGGGGAUAACUACUGGAAACGGUAGCUAAUACCGCAUAACGUCGCAAGACCAAAGAGGGGGACCUUCGGGCCUCUUGCCAUCGGCUGUGCCCAGCUGGGAUUAGCUAGUAGGUGGGGUAACGGCUCACCUAGGCGACGAUCCCUAGCUGGUCUGAGAGGAUGACCAGCCACACUGGAACUGAGACACGGUCCAGACUCCUACGGGAGGCAGCAGUGGGGAAUAUUGCACAAUGGGCGCAAGCCUGAUGCAGCCAUGCCGCGUGUAUGAAGAAGGCCUUCGGGUUGUAAAGUACUUUCAGCGGGGAGGAAGGGAGUAAAGUUAAUACCUUUGCUCAUUGACGUUACCCGCAGAAGAAGCACCGGCUAACUCCGUG
rnacentral:rRNA from 1 species